rnacentral:tRNA from 1 species
GACCCCUUCGUUCUAUCGGUUAGGACUCAAGAUUUUCAUUCUUGCAAGAGGGGUUCGAUUCCCCUAGGGGUCGCCA